rnacentral:rRNA from 1 species
UACGUAGGGGGCAAGCGUUGUCCGGAUUUAUUGGGCGUAAAGAGCGUGUAGGCGGCUGGGUAGGUCCGUUGUGAAAACUCGAGGCUCAACCUCGAGACGCCGAUGGAAACCCCCCAGCUAGAGUCCGGAAGAGGAGAGUGGAAUUCCUGGUGUAGCGGUGAAAUGCGCAGAUAUCAGGAAGAACACCAGUGGCUAAGGCGGCUCUCUAGUACGGUACUGACGCUGAGACGCGAAAGCGUGGGGAGCGAACAGG